UUACGACAUUUCCUGUCUUUCUGCCUGCUCUGCAUUGGCAGACCCUUUGGCCCAUGCAGAGCCACAGUGAGUUUGAAAGGACUCUGCACUAGCAUAGGAGUCCACAUAUGGGGAUCUGACUGCAGAAUCAGGGUCACAGCUUUCCUUUCUCUGACUGAAUCAGAUUUUCCUCUGUGCUGAAGGCUAGGCAUGUGAGUCUUACACUGUAGUUGUCUUGUACUUGUAAAAGAGAGAGCAGCAGCAGACCCUUGGGAUUGUCAGAAGAAAAUGUGGAACUGAUAAGAAACACCUGUGGAAAUGGAAAGCCUUUGGAAACCAGGUUUUGUUUAGAUGAUGAAGAGAUAACAUCUAAAGGCGUGUGUUGUCGGGCCAGAUGCUCUUGAACAGAGUGUCUGUUUUUAAAAAAAAAAGUAGUAGUAAGUUUCAGGUAAUCAGCUCUCUGUGCAAGGGAGGGUCCUAGAGGAUCAUAAGGCUACAUUGGUGCAGUGUGUAAAACUGCACAGAACUGUAUAGACUUAGUUUGUUCAUCACUUAUUAUUUGGUUCCUAGAAAACAUGAUUCCAUUCACAUUUAUAUUGCAUCUUGUAAAUAUUUUCUUGGAACUAUUGCAGGACAUUGCAAAACACAAAAGCACAUAUUACCAGUUGAACAUAUGUAGCCAACA